rnacentral:rRNA from 1 species
GACGUAGGGCGCGAGCGUUGUCCGGAUUUAUUGGGCGUAAAGAGCUCGUAGGCGGCUUGUUGCGUCGGUUGUGAAAGCCCGGGGCUUAACCCCGGGUCUGCAGUCGAUACGGGCAGGCUAGAGUGUGGUAGGGGAGAUCGGAAUUCCUGGUGUAGCGGUGAAAUGCGCAGAUAUCAGGAGGAACACCGGUGGCGAAGGCGGAUCUCUGGGCCAUUACUGACGCUGAGGAGCGAAAGCGUGGGGAGCGAACAGG